rnacentral:rRNA from 1 species
GAGUUUGAUCAUGGCUCAGAACGUACGCUGGCGGCACGCCUAACACAUGCAAGUCGAACGAAGUAGCAAUACUUAGUGGCAGACGGGUGAGUAACAUGUAGGUAUCUGCCCUUUGGCCUGGAAUAACACGAGGAAACUUGUGCUAAUACCGGAUAAGUCUUUACGGAGAAAGCUUUAUGCACCAUUGGAUGAGCCUGCACUUGAUUAGUUUGUUGGUGGGGUAAUGGCCUACCAAGACUGUGAUCAAUAGCUGAUUUGAGAGGAUGAUCAGCCACAUUGGGACUGAGACACGGCCCAAACUCCUACGGGAGGCAGCAGUGGGGAAUCUUGCACAAUGGAGGAAACUCUGAUGCAGCGAUGCCGCGUGAGUGAAGAAGGCCUUUGGGUUGUAAAGCUCUUUCGUCGGGGAAGAAAAUGACUGUACCCGAAUAAGAAGGUCCGGCUAACUUCGUGCCGGCAGCCGCGGUAAUACGAAGGGACCUAGCGUAGUUCGGAAUUACUGGGCUUAAAGAGUUCGUAGGUGGUUGAAAAAGUUAGUGGUGAAAUCCCAGAGCUUAACUCUGGAACUGCCAUUAAAACUUUUCAGCUAGAGUAUGAUAGAGGAAAGCAGAAUUUCUAGUGUAGAGGUGAAAUUCGUAGAUAUUAGAAAGAAUACCAAUUGCGAAGGCAGCUUUCUGGAUCAUUACUGACACUGAGGAACGAAAGCAUGGGUAGCGAAGAGGAUUAGAUACCCUCGUAGUCCAUGCCGUAAACGAUGUGUGUUAGACGUUGGAAAUUUAUUUUCAGUGUCGCAGGGAAACCGAUAAACACACCGCCUGGGGAGUACGACCGCAAGGUUAAAACCCAAAUGAAUUGACGGGGACCCGCACAAGUAGUGGAGCAUGUGGUUUAAUUCGAAGAUACGCGCAGAACCUUACCAACACUUGACAUGUUCGUCGCGACUCUAAGAGAUUAGAGUUUUCGGUUCGGCCGGACGAAACACAGGUGCUGCAUGGCUGUCGUCAGCUCGUGUCGUGAGAUGUUGGGUUAAGUCCCGCAACGAGCGCAACCCUCACUUUUAGUUGCCAUCAUUAAGUUGGGCACUCUGAAAGAACUGCCAGUGAUAAGCUGGAGGAAGGUGGGGAUGACGUCAAGUCCUCAUGGCCCUUACGUGUUGGGCUACACACGUGCUACAAUGGUAUCUACAACAGGAAGCAAGACUGCGAAGUUAAGCAAAUCCCUAAAAGAUACCUCAGUUCGGAUUGCACUCUGCAACUCGAGUGCAUGAAGCUGGAAUUACUAGUAAUCGUGGAUCAGCGUGCCACGGUGAAUGCGUUCCCGGGUCUUGUACACACCGCCCGUCACACCAUGGGAGUUGGUUCUACCUUAAGGCAAGGUUUCAAACCCUUGACCACGGUAUAGUCAGCGAGCUGGGGUGAAGUCGUAACAAGGUAACC